GAUGAACGCUAGCUACAGGCUUAACACAUGCAAGUCGAGGGGUAACAAGAGAAAAGCUUGCUUUUCUUGUUGACGACCGGCGCACGGGUGAGUAACGCGUAUCCAACCUGCCUAUAACUAGGGAAUAACCUUGCGAAAGUAAGACUAAUACCCUAUGAUUUCCUUUUAUGACAUCAGACUAGGCAUAAAGAUUUAUCGGUUAUAGAUGGGGAUUCGUCUGAGUAGCUGGUUGGCGGGGUAAGGGCCCACCAAGGCAACGAUCAGUAGGGGUUCUGAGAGGAAGGUCCCCCACAUUGGAAGUGAGACACGGUCCAAUCUCCUACGGGAGGCAGCAGUGAGGAAUAUUGGUCAAUGGGCGGAAGCCUGAACCAGCCAAGUAGCGUGCAGGAUGACGGCCCUAUGGGUUGUAAACUGCUUUUAUACAGGAAUAAAGUUAGCCACGUGUGGUUAUUUGUAGGUACUGUAUGAAUAAGGACCGGCUAAUUCCGUGCCAGCCGCCGCGGUAAAAC
rnacentral:rRNA from 1 species